UACGUAGGGUCCGAGCGUUGUCCGGAAUUAUUGGGCGUAAAGAGCUCGUAGGCGGUCUGUCACGUCGGCUGUGAAAACCUGGGGCUCAACUCCAGGCCUGCAGUCGAUACGGGCAGACUAGAGUUCGGUAGGGGAGACUGGAAUUCCUGGUGUAGCGGUGAAAUGCGCAGAUAUCAGGAGGAACACCGGUGGCGAAGGCGGGUCUCUGGGCCGAAACUGACGCUGAGGAGCGAAAGCGUGGGGAGCAAACAGG
rnacentral:rRNA from 1 species